UACGUAGGGGGCUAGCGUUGUCCGGAAUCAUUGGGCGUAAAGCGCGCGUAGGCGGCCCGUUAAGUCCGCUGUGAAAGUCAAAGGCUCAACCUUUGAAUGUCAGCGGAUACUGCCGGGCUAGAGUCCGGAAGAGGCGAGUGGAAUUCCUGGUGUAGCGGUGGAAUGCGCAGAUAUCAGGAGGAACACCAACGGCGAAGGCAGCUCGCUGGGACGGUACUGACGCUGAGGCGCGAAAGCGUGGGGAGCGAACAGG
rnacentral:rRNA from 1 species